rnacentral:rRNA from 1 species
CUUUAUCCAUCCACCUGUGCACCUCCUGUAGUCUCGGAGUGAUAAGCAUGUGAAGGAAGACCUGUCAAGGGGCUUCUGAGAGUGCGGCUAACUCCCAAUAUCUCUCUACUCGUGCAAGUCCUUCGGGCCUAUGUCCUCUUUCAUACACCAUGUAAAAUGUCACAGAAUGCUUUAUAAUUGGCCUUAGUGCCUAUAAAAACGUAAUACAACUUUCAGCAACGGAUCUCUUGGCUCUCGCAUCGAUGAAAGAACGCAGCGAAAUGCGAUAAAGUAAUGUGAAUUGCAGAAUUCAGUGAAUCAUCGAAUCUUUGAACGCACCUUGCGCUCCUUGGUACUCCGAGGAGCAUGCCUGUUUGAGUGUCAUUAAAUUCUCAACCCCUCCAAGCUCUUGUUGACGCUUGGUUGGUGGCUUGGAUGGUUGGGGGCAGUUCUUGCAGGCCUCUUGCGAGGUCAGCUCCCCUGAAAUAUAUUAGUGGAGCCGUUUGCGGGUCCCGUCAUUGGUGGUGUGAUAAGCUAUCUACGCCAAAGAUUAUGAUGGACCGCUCUCUCGUUUGUUCCGCUUCUAAUUGUCCGUUGUAUGGACAAACCAGUAAAAUGCGAAUGUUUGACCUCAAAUCAGGUAGGACUACCC